AACGAACGCUGGCGGCAUGCCUAACACAUGCAAGUCGAACGAAUGGCUUCGGCCAUUAGUGGCGCACGGGUGAGUAACGCGUGGGAAUCUGCUCAGCAGUGGGGGAUAACCUCGGGAAACUGAGGCUAAUACCGCAUACGCCCCUCGGGGGAAAGGCUUGCUGCUGCUGGAGGAGCCCGCGUCGGAUUAGGUAGUUGGUG
rnacentral:rRNA from 1 species